CAGGUAUGUUUUGUAGAAUGUAAAUUAUAUUAUGACUUUAGAUCAUUGACAUGUUUGUACCACUGACCAUGUUAUUUCUAGCAGAUACUGAGAUAAUGCAAAUAAUGAAUUUACAAACUGAAAGAGUUAUGAUUUUUAUUAUGAGCAUCAAUGAUUAGGAAAAGUUACUCAUGAAUUACUAAAGAAGAGAUUGCCAACAGUGGCAAUAUUAUCAGUAAAAUAUGAGUAAAAGUUAUUGACUACCUAUAUAACAAUUUUAAUUUGCUAUUUGUAGUGUAAAACAUAGCAACAAGUUACAAAAUGGAAUUAGAACUGGGAAAACACUGCCUUAUUGAGUCACUUUAUUGUGCUCUGUGUGUGGUUUUUGUUUUUUCAUCUGUAAAAUUAGAGUAAUAUAGAGGAGGAGGCAUUUUGGAAAGAUUAAGUACUUAAAAAUACAUCCUGACUUUUCCAGGUGGUGAUAAAAUUAUGAUGACGAUAGCAAUGAAAAUUUAUUGAACACUUACUCUGGACCAGACACCUAAGUGUUUUACUGGCAUUUUAUUUUAAUUCAUAAUGCCAUUUUGUAUGUUAAAACAUCCAUGUCUCAUCAAUAAGUAUCAGUGGGCAAACACAUUUUUUUUUAUUUUUUAAAUUUUUUGUUCUACCAUCUCAUCCUGAUAACUCCUACCAUGUCUUCCUUAACCAAUGGCCUCUCCCUGUAAGGUGGAUUCAUCUGUUCCUGGCAGUCCCAGGCGAACAACAUUUGCUUACCUGCCCCUUCUGUCUUCUAUGCCACUUGUGUGCCGAAUACAAUUCCAAAAUUAAGAAGAUUCCAUUUUUUAAAAAGUUGCUGAAAAUAAACGUUUGGGAACAAAAGGAGGGAAUUCUAAACACACCUGUUACCCCACAAAGAAUUAUGUACUGCAUCUUUAGCUGUUGUCUGCAAGGACCCCACUUUAACCCGGGUAUUAGAGGAUCCUGAGGAAGCCUGGGAAGGCGAGUAGUCUGACUACAUUACUUCACUGUCGGGUCCUAUAAAUCCUGCUCUUCCCACCGCUUUCCUCCUAACUUUCUAUUGCAUCCCAGGUGAUCAUCUCCUCAAUUUCUCAAGUUCUAUCAUGUGUUCUUCCAGAGGUUCCUGGUUUUCUCACACCUAAUCUAGCAUGCUAAAUCUUCAUUCUAUAUCCCUUCUUUGAGUGUAACAAGCAACAUCGAUACACGACUAUAACUUCAUAAUGACAAAUAAACAUGUAGAAAACCCAAGAUUUUAAACUUCCACAAUUCAAAUUACUAUUUUCA
rnacentral:lncRNA from 1 species